CAGUGAGUGGUGACAGCGCCACUGCACUCCAGUGUGAGCAAGAGUGAGACACUGUCUCAAAACAAAACAAAAAGCCAGGCGCGGUGGCUCACGCCUGUAAUCCCAGCACUUUGGGAGGCCGAGGCAGGUGGAUCAUGAGGUCAGAAGUUCAAGACCAGCCUGACCAACGGGGUGAAACCCCAUCUCUACUAAAAAUACAAAAAUUAGGCCGGGCACAGUGGCUCACACCUGUAAUCCCCAUACUUUGGAAGUCUGAGGCGGGCAGAUCGCCUCAGGUCAGGAGUUCGAGACCAGCCUGGCCAACAUGGUGAAACUGUCUCUACUAAAAAUACAAAAAUUAACUGAGUGUGGUGGCUUUCAUGCGCGUCCGUGUGAAGAGACCACCAAACAGGCUUUGUGUGAGCAAUAAAGCUGUUUAUUUCACCUGGGUGCAGGUGGGCUGAGUCCGAAAAGAGUCAGCGAAGGGAGAUAGGGGUGGGGCUGUUUUAUAGUAUUUGGGAAGGUAAUGGAAAAUUACAGUCAAAGGGCGGGCAGGAGUGGGGGGUCGCAAGGUGCUCAGUGGGGGUGCUUCUGAGCCAGGAGAAGGAAAUUUGCAGGGUUAAUCACUCAGUUAAGGUGGGGCAGGAACAAAUCACAAUGGUGGAAUGUCAUCAGUUAAGGCGGGGCAGGGCCUUUUCACUUCUUUUGUGAUUCUUCAGUUACUUCAGGCCAUCUGGGUGUAUAUGUGCAAGGCACAGGGGAUGCGAUGGCUUGGCUUGGGCUCAGAGGCCUGACAGUGGCACACGCCUGUAAUCCCAGCUACUUGGGAGCCUGAGGCAGGAGAAUCACUUGAACCCAGGAGGUGCAGGGUGCAGUGAGCCGAGAUCGCCCCACUGCACUCCAGCCUGGGCAACAGAGACUCCAUCUCAAAAAAACAAAAAAAAAAGCACAGGUCCCCUCCCUCAGUCCUGCAGACUUCCUCAAGCUGGGAAGGACCAAGGAUUUUGGGAAAUAACUCCACCGGCUUACAGACAGUGCACCCCAGGACAAAGAGUCAUGGUGUAAAUUUUAAUUAUCCUUUGUAGAGGCUUCAAAAAAAAAAAAAUCUAGAGUGCAGAGGUUCAGUCUGGUCCACACAGUUCUGAAUGCCUUUUAAUUAUCAUCACACACACCAGAGAAGGUCAUCUUAGAAUAUUUAAUCAGUUAGCACUAGAUGAAGGCUGGAGUAGGAGAGACUGGGAUAGUGGGGGGCAAUGUGGGGAUGGAGGCAGGGCGAGGGAGAUAAAGUCAAACUGGUUUUUUUUUUGUUUUUUUUUUUUUUUUUUUUUGGAGACAGAGCCUUACUCUGUCGCCCAGGCUAGAAUUUAGCGGCACGAUCACAGAUCAUCACAGCCACGCACGACCUCCUUGGCUCAAGGGAUUCCUCCCACCUCAGCCUCUCACGUAGCUGGGACUACAGGUAUGCAUAACCUCGCUGGGCUCGUUACUUUGUUUUUUUUUUAGAGGCAGGAUUUCACCAUGUUGCCCAGGGUGGUCUCGUACUCCUGGAUUCAAGCAAUCCUCCUGCUUCGGCCUCCCAAAGUGUCAGGAUUACAGGCGUGAGCCACUGUGCCCAGUCUCAAACAAAAUUAAAAAUUCAGUUUCUCAGUCACACUAGCCACAUUUCAAGUGCUCAGAAACUUUAUGUGGGGCCAGGCAUGGUGGCUCAUGCCUGCAAUCCCAGCACUUUGGGAGGCCGAGGCGGGCGGAUCACGAGGUCAGGAGUUCGAGACCAGCCUAACCAACAUGGUGAAACCCUGUCUCUACUAAAAAAAUACAAAAAUUAGCCGGGCGUGGUGGUGUGCGCCUGUAAUCUCAGCUACUUGGGAGGUUGAGGCGGGAGCAUUGCUUGAACCCGGGAGGCGGAGGAUGUGGUGAGCCGACGUCGUGCCAUUGCACUCCAGCCUGGGCAAUAAGAGCGAAACUCCGUCUCAAAAAAAAAAAACAAAGGUUUAUGUGGCCACUGGCUACUGUACUGGACAGUACAGACCUAGAACAUGAACCAAACAUCACAGAAAGUUCCAGUGGAGAACACUGCUACAUAUCUGCCUGUUUUAGUUAGAAGCCAACAUUUUAUUUUUAUUUUAUUUUAUUUUUUGAGAUGGAGUUUCGCUGCUGUUGCCCAGGCUGGAGUGCAAUGGUGCGAUCUCGGCUCACCACAACCUCCGCCUCCCAGGUUCAAGCAAUUCUCCUGCCUCAGCCUCCUGAGUAGCUGGGAUCACAGGCAUGCUCCACCACGCCCAGCUAAUUUUGUAUUUUUAGUAGAGAUGGGGUUUCU
rnacentral:lncRNA from 10 species